CAGCCGCCGCGGGAAUACGAAGGGGGCUAGCGUUGUUCGGAAUUACUGGGCGUAAAGCGCACGUAGGCGGACAUUUAAGUCAGGGGUGAAAUCCCGGGGCUCAACCCCGGAACUGCCUUUGAUACUGGGUGUCUUGAGUGUGGAAGAGGUCAGUGGAAUUGCGAGUGUAGAGGUGAAAUUCGUAGAUAUUCGCAGGAACACCAGUGGCGAAGGCGGCUGACUGGUCCACAACUGACGCUGAGGUGCGAAAGCGUGGGGAGCAAACAGGAUUAGAUACCCCCGUAGUCCCUGUCUCUUAUAC
rnacentral:rRNA from 1 species